rnacentral:rRNA from 1 species
AUUGAACGCUGGCGGCAGGCUUAACACAUGCAAGUCGAGCGGGGUGAUGGUGCUUGCACUAUCACUUAGCGGCGGACGGGUGAGUAAUGCUUAGGAAUCUGCCUAUUAGUGGGGGACAACAUCUCGAAAGGGAUGCUAAUACCGCAUACGUCCUACGGGAGAAAGCAGGGGAUCACUUGUGACCUUGCGCUAAUAGAUGAGCCUAAGUCGGAUUAGCUAGUUGGUGGGGUAAAGGCCCACCAAGGCGACGAUCUGUAGCGGGUCUGAGAGGCUGAUCCGCCAGACUGAGACUAAGACACGGCCCAGACUCCUACGGGGGGCAGCAGUGGGGAAUAUUGGACAAUGGGGGGAACCCUGAACCAGCCAUGCCGCGUGUGUGACGAAGGCCUUAUGGUUGUAAAGCACUUUAAGCGAGGAGGAGGCUCUUUUGGUUAAUACCCAAGAUGAGUGGACGUUACUCGCAGAAUAAGCACCGGCUAACUCUGUGCCAGCCGCCGCCGUAA